AGUUCCGUAGGUGAACCUGCGGAGGGAUCAUUA
rnacentral:rRNA from 1 species